GACGAACGCUGGCGGCGUGCUUAACACAUGCAAGUCGAACGGACAGGCCCUGCUUUUGUGGGGUGCUCGAUUGGCGAACGGGUGAGUAACACGUGAGUAACCUGCCCUUGACUUUCGGAUAACUUCAGGAAACUGGGGCUAAUACCGGAUAGGAGCUCCUGCUGCAUGUUGGGGGUUGGAAAGUUUCGGCGGUUGUGGAUGGUCUCGCUGCUUAUCCGCUUGUUUGUGGGGUAGUGGCUUACCAAGGUUUUGACGGGUAGCCGGCCUGAGAGGGUUACCGGCCACAAUGGGACUGAGAGACGGACCAGAAGCCUACGGGAGGCAGCAGGGGGGAGUAUGGCAGAAUGGGCGGAAGCCUGAUGCAGCAGCGCCGCGUGCGGGAUGACGGCCUUCGGGUUGUAAACCGCUUUGGCCUGUGACGAAGCGUGAGUGACGGUAAUGGGUAAAGAAGCACCGGCUAACUACGUG
rnacentral:rRNA from 1 species